rnacentral:rRNA from 1 species
CAGCAGCCACGGGAAUACGAAGGGUGCAAGCGUUAAUCGGAAUUACUGGGCGUAAAGCGCGCGUAGGUGGUUUGGUAAGAUGGAUGUGAAAUCCCCGGGCUCAACCUGGGAACUGCAUCCAUAACUGCCUGACUAGAGUACGGUAGAGGGUGGUGGAAUUUCCUGUGUAGCGGUGAAAUGCGUAGAUAUAGGAAGGAACACCAGUGGCGAAGGCGACCACCUGGACUGAUACUGACACUGAGGUGCGAAAGCGUGGGGAGCAAACAGGAUUAGAUACCCCGGUAGUCCCUGUCUCUUAUAC